rnacentral:rRNA from 1 species
ACAGCAGCAGCCACGGUAAUACAGAGGCCUCAAGCGUUGUUCGGAAUCACUGGGCGUAAAGGGUGCGUAGGCGGACUCUUAAGUCGGGGGUGAAAGCCCAGGGCUCAACCCUGGAAUUGCCUUCGAUACUGGGAGUCUUGAGUUCGGAAGAGGUUGGUGGAACUGCGAGUGUAGCGGUGAAAUGCGUAGAGAUGUGGAGGAACACCAGUGGCGAAGGCGACUCUCUGGUCUGUAACUGACGCUGAGGAGCGAAAGCGUGGGGAGCGAACAGGAUUAGAUACCCGUGUAGUCCCUGUCUCUUAUAC